GGGGCGGGAGACACGGUCGGUGUCCGCCGCGGCAUCCAGCGCGGCGUUGUGCUCGCGACGCUGCUCACCGUGCCGACGGUGUUGCUCCU
rnacentral:tRNA from 1 species